rnacentral:lncRNA from 1 species
AACAAGCAGAUAUCCAUGUAAAAAAAAAAAAAUAAAAUAAUGAAUUCCAACCCCCAUACUUGCGUCAUAACUGCAAAAUAACUUGAGAUGGCUCACAGCCCUAAGCAUAAAAGCCAAAGCUUGUAGGUGAAAGGAACAGUACACAGAAAGCAACAACAAUUAAAAAAAAAAAAAAUGUUGAAAAAAAAUCAGGUUUCACCAAAAUUAAAAAUUUCCACUUAGCAAAAACUCCCCAUUAAGAAAAUGAAUAAGUAAGCCAAAGACUGGGAUAAAAUAUUCAGAAAACAUAUCUAACAAAGGUCUCAAUUCCAGAUGAUAUAAAUAAUUAUAUAUAAUUUUUUUAAAGAAAAAAAAUUUAAUGGGAAAGGAUUUGAACGUUCUGCAAAAGAAAUCCAAAUGUUCAGUCAGCACAUGAUAAAAGCACAUUAAUACCCAAAAGUCAUCAGAGAAAUGCAAAUUAAAACCAAAAUGAGAUAUCACUAUUCAUCUAACCAAAUAACUAAAAUUAAAAAGACUGGUGACAUCAAAUGUUGGUGAGGACGUUAAAAGAAGUCUCAAACCCUGCUGGUGAGAGUAUAAAAAUGGUUUAACACUCUGGAAAACAAUCUAAUAGUUUCUUAUAAAACUAAUCACAUAUCUACUCUAUGACUUAAAAAUUGCACUUCUAGGGGUGCCUGGAUGGCUCAGUCAGUUAAGCAUCCAACUCUGGAUUUCGGCUCAGGUCAUGAUCUCAGGGUUCAUGGGUUUGAGCCCCACAUAGGGCUUGGUGUUGAUAACUGCUGAGCUUGCUUGGGAUUCUCUCUCUCUGCCCCUCCCCGGCUCAUGCUUUCUCUCUCUCUCUCAAAAUAAAUAAACUUUAGGGGCGUCUGGGUGGGUCAGUCUGACUUCGGCUCAGGUCAUGAUCUCGCGGUUUGUGAGUUCUUCGAGGCCCGCGCUGACAGCUUGGAGCCUGAAGCCUGUUUCGGAUUCUGUGUCUCCCUCCCUCUCUGCCCCUCCUCCACUCAUGCUCUGUGUCUCUGUCUCUCUCAAAACUAAAAGCACAUUAAAAAUUUUUUGAAUAAAUUUAUACAUAUACUUAAAACAAAUAAAAUUGUACUUCUAUACAUUUACCUAAAAGAAAUGAAAACAUGUCUACAAAAAGUCAUUAGACUAUUCACGUAUUACAACUAGUCAUGAUGCAAAUGAAUAAACAAACUGUGGUCUAUGUACGUGAUGAAAUGAUAACAGAUCUAAGGGAAAAGCCUCCAGUGGGAAAAGCUAAUGCAAACAGAAGCAGAAACAGAAAAUUAGGGAGAAGAAAACUUCAGAGAAACUUGGAAGACACAGUAUUAUGAAACAAUGCCAUAAAAGCGAUUAGCGUUAACAUUUAGCAAAUAAAAGGUUUUUAUAAAUUAAAAAUAUGAUAGCAGAACCAAAAUACUCAAUAGGAAGACUGGAAGACAAAGGAAAUAUCCCAGAAAACAGAACUGGGAGGAAAAAAAAAAAGAAAAGACAGUAAAAUGGAAAAGAAUACUUGAUAAUCAAGUAGCACGAUAUGAUCGGUAAUAUUUCCAAAAGAGUAGAGGAAGAAAUCCUAAGAGAAAUUAAAAAAAAAAAAUUCUUAGACCUGAAAACGUCCAACUUUAUGUUGGAAAGGUCCAGAGGGCCUAGCACAGUGAACCAAAAAAGGCAUAUAACAAGGCAUGUGCAUUUCAAAUUUAAAAAUACCAGGAACAGGCCUCCUGGGGGGGCUCAGUCGGUUAAGCGCACAUUGGACUCUUGAUUUAGGCUCAGGUCAUAAUCUAACAGUUCAUGGAUUUGAGCCCUGCAUCCGCCUCCAUGCUCACAGCAUGGAGCCUGCUUGGGAUUCUCUCUCCCCCUCUCUCGCUCUCAAAGUAAGUAAAUAAACUUAAAAAAAUAGAAUAAAAAAUAAAAAUGCCAGGGAAGAUCGGAAAAGUCCAAGAGUCCACUAGAAAGAGAAAGAGAAAACAGAUCAGAGGAGGAACGAUACUGGUCUCCUCAACAACACUAGAAGCUAGAGGACAAUGACAAUACCUUCAAAUACCUUCUGAAAGAAAGGUUUUCCGACUCAGAAUUUUAUAUUCAGCCCAAUUAUAAAUCAAAAAUGAGGACAAAUACAUUUUCAGGACAGACUUACUACAUUUUCAUGCAUUUGGAAUCGCAAAAAAAAAAAAAAAAAGUGACUGCUUUGGACACCUUCGCAGGACAUUUCUGUAGGAUGUGCUUCAUAAAUAAGAGGAAAGCAAGAAAGACAUAAGUCCUAAUAAAACAGAAAAGCAAAGGAAAUUCCUGGAAUGACUGUAAAGACGAAUCCAGCACAGCUGUGUAGCAGGCAGAGGGAAGCAAGAGCAGUUUGGAGCAGGAGGGAAUACUGAGGGAGCUGCGAGGAAGGCUAAAUCAUGUGACUGAGUGUAUUAUGGGGAAACUUGUGUGGGGAGUUUUGGGAUGGAAUGAAAGGACUUAGUCAAACAUACAAAGUAAACUAAAGCAAUGGGAUGUUGUAAUUAUUUACUCUAGGGGGAAAAAGUUAUAGGAAAAAGGGAAACCUACACCGUGGCUCAGGAGCGACUAAAUUUUGCAAUCACUAAAAAUGAAAAAGACAGUGCAUAUCAAACCAAAACACUGUAUUGGGAUGAUAAGGGAAAAGGGCCUUAAGAGCUCUUCUACCGUAAGACAAAUGCUUAGUACACCUGAAACUAAUACAAUCUAUGUCCAUUACAUCUCAAAGGACAAAUGAUAAUGCUUCAAGUUUCCACAUAGGCAUACUAUUCAAAAAUAUGGAAGUGUGUACCGAAACAGAUAUACACACAAGUCUGUAAGAUAAUCCGAUUUGAAAUUACUUCCUUCAUGGAUAACUGCAUCCCAGUAAUGUAUUCUAGCACAAAUUGCCGAACCUGUGUACUUUGUCAUAGUUUCAUUUAGUCAAACACGCUUUAGCGUACUUAUUCCCAGAAAGAUAUCAACUUCAAGAGAAGAUGCUUUGUGUUGUAAAAUGCUACAGGAAAAAAAGAUGGGAGGCAAAUACUGGAAAAAAAAAAAAAAAAAGACAGGGGAAAGGAGUCCUUAAAGUAAGAUAUGUAGUUCUCAACCCUGGCUGCAAAUAUGAAUCACCUAGGCAUUCAUGCCCAGGAUACUCUGCCGCAUUCUGAUCUAACUGGUCUAAGGUACAGCCUUGGGCUUAUUUAUUCUAACACGCGACCAAGAUUGAGUCAUUUGAGUAUCUCUGGAUUAGUUGUAUGACAGUGGUGAAAAUGGAAAAUGCUGAGACUGUCAGUGUUGUUGAUACAGAAAGUAAAAAAUACAGGACUAAAGCAGCAGUCUGUUCACAUUAUUCCCCUGCUUAAAAAACAACAUAAAACGAGCAAACACUUCAACGGCUCCCAUGGCUUGCUCUGUACGUAUAGUUUAAUGUCUUAGUUGGUCCACACACAAGGCCCUCUGUGAUCUGACUCCAGGGGCUACCUCUCCAGCCUCAUCUCUAACUCCCCACAGGCAAACUAAGAUACUGCCAAACUAAACUAUUUUCAGCUUCCUUCAAUGUACCAAAGUAUUUGAUUCCUCUCCCAUUUGCAUAUUAUUAGUCCUUCAGCCUAGAAUAAUAUGCCCCUUCUACUCAGUCUACUUAGCAUGCCCUAUAAACUCCUACUUACAUUAAAGUACAAGUAUACCUUUUCCCGUAGUCUUCCAGGAACCACUUGAGAAAAAUUAAUCACUUACUUCUUGGCAAUCAUCACCACACUUUUAUACAUUGUUAAACCAUUUACCGCACUGCAUUUUCCCCCAUAGGUCUCACUGACUGAUCUUUGAGCACUUUGGGAACAAGUUAACUGUGUUACUGUUUCUGUUUUUCGUCUUCCUAUCUGCUAUGCCUAACUGAAGACUGGCUUAUGGCCCAUGACUAAAUGUCAGUUGCAUGAGUGAGUGAGUAUAAAAUGACAGGAGGACCACUAGCUCUAAAUUUUCAACAGGAAAGUUAAAGGAAAAGAAAAAUUCUAAGUAGUAAAUGGGGAUUGCGGAGGCCUGACAAAUUCUGUGACUUGAAGCAGCCUAUGAAUGCUUUUCCUCAUCUCCUAAAUCUUUCCCCUACACCCUCCAUUCCCCACUAGUCUGAUUAAGGAAGGUCCGAUAAGUAAAUGAUUAAUUAAACAAUAAUAAUAAAACAGUGGAGAAGAGGAAUAGGAUGGGUUAUACAAGGAGAAACAAAGACUUUGGUACUGUUUUGUUUCUUAAACUAUGCGAAAAGAUAGGCAGGCGAUAACUGUGUUGACCUUUAUAGUCUUUAUCAUGUCUUAAAAUGCUGCUUUACAUAUAGUAGUGAACUCAAGUAACAAGGACUGGAAAAUAUAAACUGCUGAAAAAAAAAUCACAUGUUAAAUGUACAGAUGAUAUCGUUAAAGAAUUAAAUUCCGAGCACUCUGAAAUUACCUGAAAUGUGGUAUCUGUGGUAACUGCAAACAUACACGUAAUUGCGUGUGUGUGUGUGUGUGUGUGUGUGUGUAUACAUUUACUUACAAUCUUGGAAAAGACUAGUGUUCUCAGCUAUGGAACAAGUGAACUAAAGCCAUUUCAUUCUCUUCACUUCUCAAAUCCAGGAAAAAAACCCCACGUGAGCAGUAACAGUUGGUAUCAUUAUAAAACACCGGUUUUUAUUAUGUCUGGGUAUCAAACAGAAAACGAAACUGAAUUUAAAAAGUAGUUCCAAUUGCUAAGAAAAGCAUUCUGUUCAAAGAAUGGCUAAGACUUUACCUAUUAUCAGCACCACCACCCUCCCACUUUUUUUUUUUUUUGGUCUGGGUGUUUUCUCUCUUCAGAAGACAUCACAUCUCAUUCUUUCUGACUCAGAACAGGUUUUACAACUUCUUGGCCCUUUGGACUUCCAACUUCCACAUGUCUCAUAACCUGUCCCAGACUAAUUAGGGACACGCAACCUCCUAUACAGAACCAAAAGCAUUUAGUUCUCUAAUACCUAAGAAAGGAAAAAAGGGUUUGGGAUGCAGAUUUCCGGAAACCCGUGUAUCUCACGAGACAACUCAUUCCCGAGUCUGAUGGAGCAGGCGAAAUCAGAACGUGAAGGCACAUUGGCUUAAAGAAUUGGGCGGUAAACAAAGCAGCACCAGUAAUGAUAAUUAAAAAAAAAAAAAAGUUGAUGGGUUUCUGGACGCACACUCAUGGGGCAAGACACGGAUGCUUAACUAGAGAUAGAUCAGGCCUGCAAAAUGCCUCCAGGUAUCACUAGGUGCUUUUCUCUUUGCUUUGCUAAAAUCCAAAAAUUCUUAGUUUGGACUCUGGGAUCUCAAAUGCCUCCUCUUUUCACUCCUCACUUCUCCCACAAACCCUGUCCCUCCUGCACCUUCUCCCAGCCUAAAAUACCGACUUUCUACCCGCCCCCUCGAGCAAAGCACUUCUCUGCGCCUCUGUCCACCGACAGCCCAGCCUCCGGCUGUCCCCUAAGGCGGCCAGACUCUCCUCCUAGCAGUCAAGCCGUUGCGCAGCUCCAUCCUUCUCACCUUGGUUACAGAAGAGGCUCCACAGUUUAGCGAAGAUCAGCCCCAUCAUGAGCACCUGGGCGGGCCGCGGGGUCCCUCAGCAGCAGGUGCCGCUGCGNNNNNNNNNNNNNNNNNNNNNNNNNNNNNNNNNNNNNNNNNNNNNNNNNNNNNNNNNNNNNNNNNNNNNNNNNNNNNNNNNNNNNNNNNNNNNNNNNNNNNNNNNNNNNNNNNNNNNNNNNNNNNNNNNNNNNNNNNNNNNNNNNNNNNNNNNNNNNNNNNNNNNNNNNNNNNNNNNNNNNNNNNNNNNNNNNNNNNNNNNNNNNNNNNNNNNNNNNNNNNNNNNNNNNNNNNNNNNNNNNNNNNNNNNNNNNNNNNNNNNNNNNNNNNNNNCCUCGGUCUGAACCCACCUACCCACCAGAGCCUCUACCAGCCCCAAGCCCCGCCUCCGCUCCGCCUCCCCUCCCGAUUCCCGGCCACCCAUCGCCGGAAGGACGCGGACUGACGUCGGCGCGCUUGCGUUUACCCACGCUUUCGACGUGGCGUUUCCUUCGGUUUCACUUCCGGGGGGCGGGCUUCAAACUGCCCGCGGAAUGGGAGGUUAGGGGUCGUGGGAGUCGGGAGUUUCCCUAGGUGAGCUCUUAAACUCGGCGCGUUUUGUAAGCUUUUGUCACGUUCCAGUUCUUGAGUCUCUGCUGUUGGGCAAGUGCGCCCUCCCCCGUCUAAAUCUAGGGGCAGCUGCAGCUCCUCUAACCGAAAAGCUGCCGCUUGUUGCCCUUUACCGCACGGAAAUGAGGAGUGUUUCUCUCGCAACUGUCAUCGUGGGCAGGCAGGCGAGCUUGGUGUUCUAACGUGAUUCUUCAUUCGAAAUAGAAUUGCUUGGGAGACGAUCCAUGGACUGCCGGUAGCCACAAAGUUCGGUUGUGUGAUUAACUUAAAGCCGCCUAGUUGCCACGCAUUCGGAAUUUUCAUGGAGCCCAAAUCAAAAAAACAAAACAAAACUUUUCUGAAGCAUUAACUGAAAAUAACUUCCUUUGAUUGAAAUGGAAUCCCAGUAAUCUCUCCCGGUCAACAAAAUAGAGGAAAAAGCUCCAAGUGCUGUCCUAGAUCAAAGAAACUGAAAUUUCAAGGAGAAGGUUGAACUAGGGAAUUUAAAAAAUAUGUAUAUUAUGAACUUAAUACUUGGAAGAACUGUCUGCAGCUGGAGUUGAAUUCAAUUUAUUUCUUGGCUAACCUUUUAAGUCAAAAAGCUAAUUCUCUAAGCGUUUCAAUUCCACUUUGUAAUCAUUUUUUUAUUGUUGACACGACGUUACAUUGGCGUCAAGUGUACAUCAUAGUGAUUCAACAUCUCUGUCUUAUAUGCUCACACAAGUAACUACAAUCUGUCACUGCAUUGUACACUAUUACACAAUUCCACCUUCUUUGCCUUGUUAAGUUCCAACAAAUAUAAAAGCUGCAUAACCUGGCAUGAAACCUAAUGCCCCUGAAAUCAGUAAAGGAGAGAACUUAAUUGAACUGGACUUCGAUCAGGUGGUAUAUUUUAACCCAGGUAACAAGGCCUUUUAACAGGCCAAACCUUCCUUAGCUGUAGAAAGAGGAAUGAAAUGUAUGACUUGUGAAAUCCUCCUAGGGUUAUGAUUCAAAGAUUCUUCGGGGCGCCUGGGUGGCUCAGUGGGCUAAGCGGCCGACUUUGGCUCAGGUCGUGAUCUCGCGGUCCGUGAGUUGGAGCUCCGCAUGGGGCUCUGUGCUGACAGCUCAGAACCUGGAGCCUGUUUCAGAUUCUGUGUCUCCCUCUCUCUCUCUGACCCUCCCCCGUUCAUGCUCUGUCUCUCUCUGUCUCAAAAAUAAAUAAACGUUAAAAAAAAUUUAAAAACAAAAAAAACACAAAGAUUCUUGAAGACUUUUAUAUGGGAUGAUGUACUCCAACUUUCUCAUAUUAAAGACAAGUUAUAACGUCCCAUGUAGAGGAAAAGGUAUGUACUGAGCCUAUGUAAAUUAGUUUAUCUGUCAGGAUCAUGAAUUGGCUCCAAUAUAAAUGAUUUUGUGUUUGUGUAAACAGGCUUAAAGGGAUAUUUCUAAUCAUAGUUUCAUUAUUCAUAAAAAAACCUUUAGAUACUGUAACUUAGCCUCUCAAAUUGUUACACAUAUAUAUAUAUAAACUACAUUCCACUAUUUUCUGGCUUUUGGAUCUCCAAUUAACAGUUUCUGAAAUAAAGCAGUUUUGUUUUUUGCAGAGCUUCGAAGGAAAAAAAUUACUUAUUAAAUAUUUUUAUGAUGGUGUAAUGAUACUUUAGAAAGUAAAUUUGAAGUAUUUUUUCACUUUUAAUUCAGUGGUGGAAUGAAUAUAUUUGAGCAAGGCUGUUGAUAUUUCUAUUGGUGCUAUUCUUUCAAAAUGUUUGAAACUUUUUUUUUAGAGUAAUAUCUACACCCAAAGUGGGGCUCGAACUCACAACCCCCAAAUCAAGAGCUGCCUGCUCAGUCAACUGAGCCAGCCAGGUGCUCCAAAAUGUCUGAAACUUUUAUGUUCAAGAACUGUUCUAAUUUUUAUCAUCUUCUCUACAAUUUACCUGACAACAGGACUGCUGAAAUAUUUUUAAAAUAUUUUUUCACAUUAGAAAGUGUUAUUUGCCGAUUUAGGAAUUUGAAAUUUUUAUUAACUGUAAGAAAAGAAAACCACUCACAACUGAAAAGCGAAUAUAAUUGAUUAACAAAAAUAGAGUUCCGCAUUAUCUAAACAGAACUCUGCUGGCAUACCAGUAUUAUCUUUUACAAAAGAUACAAUUUAGUUCAUAUUGUAUAUUUGUAUUAUAUAUAUUAUAGUAGGAAUACUUGUCAAUAAUUUAAUCAAACUAAAGAGUUUUGAAUAAUACACUUUUUAAAUAUAUUUUGAAUACACUUUUUUAAAAAAAAAAUUUUUAACGUUUUAUUUAUUUUUGAGACAGGGAGAGACAGAGCAUGAACAGGGGAGGGUCAGAGAGAGGGAGACACAGAAUCUGAAACAGGCUCCAGGCUCUGUGCUGUCAGCACGGACUGCGAGAUCAUGACCUGAGCUGAAGUCGGCCGCUUAACCUACUGAGCCACCCAGGCGCCCCUGAACACACUUUUUAAACUUAAAAAACACCUUUGCUAAUUUUUUUCUGAAAACAUUCCUUUAAAAACUUUUAAAAACUAAUUUCAGCGUAGCCUUAAUCCAAAGAAGGUAUCACUGUUCUAUGAAAUGUUACUAUUUGAAUAUAUUUUGAAUUCAUGAAAGAAAAAAAAAUCAUGAAAAAGGAACGUGAUAAUACUGUCAUUAGGAUUAUAACUUAGUUUCUGAAGUGUUAGUUGGAAAUAACUUCCUUUAAUUAAAACCCAAUGCCAGUAAUAUUUCUCUCCAGUUCACUAAAUUUUAAGAAAAAGAUAAAAGUACUGUACAUAAAGCAAAACAAAUUAAAAUUUCAGGAAAAAAUGAAACAUUGAACAACUAGGGAAUUAAAAACAACAACCUGUAACUACUGUUCCUCACAAGGAACUAAUUAUCCAAAUUUAGAUAGUACUUAGAAGAGUUGGCUACAGCAGGAACUGAAUUCAAUUUAUUACUGUUAACUAAGAUAAACUGCAUGCAUGGCUUGAACGAAGAGUUCAGGACAGCAUGUUCUGCCAACUAGGAAUGAAACUUUUCAAAAACAAACAACUCUCCUACACUAUUAAGAUUAUGUCCACUUUGACUUUAGCCUCCAGAUGAGUUGAUAGAUUUCCUGCCUUUCUAGGCUUUUUUUCCUAAUCCCCUCAUACCUUCUUCAUGAAAUUGAAUAUUUUGGAAUAUGCUUGGUUUUUGGUAAGGUUAAGCUUUGGAGCACUACAAACUAAGACUUAAGAUUAUAAGAUUGUACUUAAGAUUUUUUUGCUCCUCCACAUGGGCAGCCAUAUUAUCCCAUGGAGCAAAUACAACCUAAAUGACCCGUAUAUGGGUAUAUUCCUAUAGGGCUCUUCCUUUGCUUAGACAAUAUGUUUGCACUAUGCCAACUUCAGAUUUGGUAUGUGUUUGUCUUCGACCCAAGUUUAGAACACUAAGAGGCAUCUUCAUCAACCUGUCACUACAAUAGUGUCUAGACAAGGAUAGUCUAAAAGUCCUCAGCACUGUUUAUAUGUGCUUCACUAGUAAACUAGUUUCCAGCAAAUACAUGCUUUAACAGUUUUCAUUCUCUAGGUCACAUAGAUGCCUAUCCAUUCAUCUAGUCAUUCAACAUUUAAGUGCCUAUUACAUGUUUUGGCAGUGGGUAUGCAGUGCAGUGAGAUGAAGUCUCUACCCUCGCGGAGUUUACAAUCUAGUCCAACUCGUUCCUUCCUCUCCCUUAUCUCCUAAAUACAGAUUCCAACCAUUAUUGGUGCUAGGGUUGUAAUGUUCAGGCUGCAAAAAUUCCUUUGGAAAUGCCCGAUCUAGACAUGUUUUCUAAUAACUUUUAGAUGAUUUAGCCACGGAAAAAUCCCAUGAACUUACUGAAGUAUACCAUGGUGAAAAGAGUUGGUAUUCGUUUUAGAUGACAGGUGGCUGUGGUCUUUAUCCUGACUUUCUAAGGAGACAAUUAUUUUUAGCUACCUAUUCAAUCAUAAAAUGUCUGACUUUCAUUAGGUACCUCCUCCUUUUGAAUCCUUUCCUUCAUCUGUAACACAUAAAUUAUGUCAAGGUUCUCAGAGCCUUCAAGUAUAAAUCAACUAUGAUACAGGUAACUGCUAGCCUCACUCAACUAACUAAAUGCUAGGUGUAGGUUUUUAAGUUUUAACGGAUCAUUCAUGGACAUGAACCCACCAGUAACCCAGCUUCCGAAAAUUUGAAUAACGUGGUUCAUUCAUCGCUGAAGUCAGACUAGUAUGCGUUUCUGAAAUCAAAGAGUGACUUACAGGUUCAAAUAAACUUCCUUUCUCUUUUCUUUGCAGGUCACCCAGCAGGUAACUAAUUGGCCCUCUCAACUUAUUCAGGCCAGCAAAGCCUUCGACUUAACCCACACCAUUUCCUCGUCUGCCCUGACACCCGCCNNNNNNNNNNNNNNNNNNNNNNNNNNNNNNNNNNNNNNNNNNNNNNNNNNNNNNNNNNNNNNNNNNNNNNNNNNNNNNNNNNNNNNNNNNNNNNNNNNNNNNNNNNNNNNNNNNNNNNNNNNNNNNNNNNNNNNNNNNNNNNNNNNNNNNNNNNNNNNNNNNNNNNNNNNNNNNNNNNNNNNNNNNNNNNNNNNNNNNNNNNNNNNNNNNNNNNNNNNNNNNNNNNNNNNNNNNNNNNNNNNNNNNNNNNNNNNNNNNNNNNNNNNNNNNNNNNNNNNNNNNNNNNNNNNNNNNNNNNNNNNNNNNNNNNNNNNNNNNNNNNNNNNNNNNNNNNNNNNNNNNNNNNNNNNNNNNNNNNNNNNNNNNNNNNNNNNNNNNNNNNNNNNNUGGUGUUUUUGCAACGUGGGUGACGUGGCCUCACAGUGAUUUCCGUGAGCGUCCCUAAAGGAGGACCAAGGACGGGUGUGGUGGAGGCGAGGAAGCUGCUCUGAACUGGCGACGCUCGAGAAAGCGUGGAUGUACCUCCGCAAAAGCCGAAUAUAACUUGGAAAGAGCGGCGCGAUUUUCCUGGCCAUCUGGCGGUCCCGGCGCGUGUGGGUGGUUACUCACUUGACAACACGCUGCUCACUGUUCACUCGGAAAGAGAAAAAUCACCGUUUUCCAGCAUUUUUCUUGGAGGAGAACAAAACUAUCGCCAAAAUGUCUAUUUUCCCUAAAAUAUCUUUGAGACUUGAGGUUGAAAGGUACCUUAAGGAGGGUUUUAUGAAUAAGGAGGUAGGUCAAAUAAACCUGGUAGAUGAUAUUUGGAAAAACUCAAAUACUUACACACUCUGGAGAAAUAGAAAAAAAAAAAAAAAGAGGCCUAAAGCGAAACCUCAUCUUGACACCGUUGUUUCUGCCUGGUUUUUUUCGAAUGUAAAAACGGCCGGUAUCUUCCCCGUAGGGAUUUAGUGUUUUCGAGAUCAGAGGUGAAUGAGGUAUAUACGUUUCUACCCUUAGGAACGUGGAAGAAGGGAGGGGAACAAAGCGGUUAUGUGCCCGGCAGUAGGCGUGGCACUGAAGGGGUUGCAAAAUGAGCGCAAAACGAUUCCUGUUCUCGAGAACUUAAGUCCUGCAGAGAAGUCACAGCUGCACUCUUGGAGUGUGGCAGUCUGUUGAAAGGGAUGCUAGAAGUUGUUAAUGCCUCAAAUGCCACCCGUUGUGCUAGGUGGCUUGCAGACCUUUACAUCUUAAUAUUCGCGCUCUCUCGCUCGCUCUCUCUUUUGGUAGAGAUUGCCUCUCCAUUUUAACAGGUGAGAGGACGGAGGGUCCAAAGAGGCCAAAGUGACACCGCUAUGAAGUAACAGGACUGAAAUCUGAAGCCUGAAGAGUUCAGGUACAAUGACAAAAUCCAGAUCUGGAGUCCCAAGUCCUGGGUUUGUGUCUCUGUGCUUUGAACGAAUCAUUUCAGAGCGCUUAGCCUUAAUUUCCUUUUCUGCGAAAACCGGGGAUGUUAAAAAUACAUAUCCUUACAAGGUUGCUUUGGAAUAUUAAUCCUGAGAAAGCAGUUGGCGUUGUUGUGGCACACAGCCCUCAACAAAUACUCAUUCUCUGUGCUUUUCGCAGUGCCUCGCACAGAAGUCCUCAGUGAAUACUGUCUUUGGUUGCCAAGCUUGUGCUCUUUACAUUUUACGAUCCGGCCUCUAGGCAACUUUGUACUUCUAAGUCUUUGCUUUUCUGUUCAAAGUAAAGCCACCUAAAUGUUAAUCGUGCGAAGAUAUUGCUGAAGCUGACUUGUUAGAUUUGAUUUCUGCAUUUUAUUUCCAAAGAUUAUUUAAAAAAUUUUUUUAACGUUUUAUUUUUGAGACAGAGAGAGACAGACCAUGAACGGGGGGGGGGGGGGGGCGGNNNNNNNNNNNNNNNNNNNNNNNNNNNNNNNNNNNNNNNNNNNCUCUGAGCUGUCAGCACAGAGCCCGACGCAGGGCUCGAACCCACGAACCACGAGAUCAUGACCUGAGCCCAAGUCGGAUGCUCAACCGACUGAGCCACCCAGGCGCCCCUCCAAAGAUUAUUUUACGGGACUAGACAGCAUGGAAAGAGAAAAGACAUUCUCUAGAUUUCAGAGAACUUAAAAUAUAAGGAGCAUAUUAAGAGAAAUAGAGGCAUUCAGAAAUUUUUCCCAGCGGGUUUAAAAAAAAUAAAUAUUGCUUUUAUGAAAGAAGAUCCAAAUGUCCGUCUUUGACACCACCUCUGCCUCAAACCCGCUAACUGUAAGUGAUUUUACGAAAAGGAAAGCCAUUACUUUGUAAAAGUAUUGGAGGUAAAGGUCAGUUUUAAUACACUAGAGAAAGUACUAAUACUAUGAGGCUGGUGGGUUAGUAGGCUGGCAAGUGGUUUAUGAAGAUGCUGUGGGGCAGGGUAUAUUCAGAGAUCACAGAAAUGGGAGGCGCCUGGGUGGCUCAGUGGGUUGCGCGUCCGACUUCAGCUCAGGUCAUGAUCUUGUGGUUCUUGAGUUGGAGCCCCACAUCGAGCUCAUGUGUCAGUGCACAUCCCGCUUCAGAUCCUUUGUCCCUCUCUCUCUCUGCCCCUCCCCCACUCAUACCCUCUCAAAAAUAAACAUUAAGAAGAAAAGAUGACAAAAAUGGGAAAAUACAUGUCUCGUAAAGCUUCAGUUCAUCACAGGGAACUUGGUUGGUUGAGUCUUUCAUUAGUUGAACGAAUGGGUGUUCAUGUUCUUAAAAUUUUUAGUUCAUUUGUUGAGGGACGUUGAAACAUUAACUUGUUAUUUUUCUCUUUUUCAGGUUGUAUCUGCUCUAGGCAAACAAGAAGCAGAAAGGAGAUUUGAAACUCUGUUAAAUCACUUGUCACACCCUCCAUCAUUCACAACUGUCAGAGUAAACACACAUCUCGCCUCAGUGCAACAUGUGAAAAAUCUGUUGUUGGAUGAGCUUCGGAAGGUAUGUGCAAAUUUUCUGUCAUGUCUAUGACAUUUCUACAGUCUAUGUCAUGUUGCUGUUCACUAAAAUCCUAUGAACAUAAUGUACUAUUCCAAUUUUACACCUAAGGAAGUCAAAGAUCAUGAAUGUUCAGUUGUUAAGUGGUAAUGUUAGACGUAAUGUUAGAACCCAGCACUUGUGAUUCAGAAUUUAUUAUAGUGACUGAGUAGGUCACUCAGCUCAUCUGGCCUCAGUUGCUUCAUCAUUAAAAUACAUAUGAACAGAUCUGUUCUAACCCUAAAAGUCUGGUUUUGUAAUAAGUUACCUGAUUAGUGUGUAAAUUAAAAGAUGCAAGCAUAAUCAAAGGGCUUUUAUUUAUAUAUUUAUUAUAGGCUGUGUUAUUAGUUUAAUGAAGAUGUAACAUUAAGAAAUCUUCAGAAACUUAUCACUGAUGUUGAUUUACUUAUUGUUCUUUAAUCUCAUUAGAUUUAUGGAAUGUUUGUUAUAUUGUCUGUAAGAACAGUUUUAUAAAUUUCAAGUUGUGAGAAAAUGUGUAAGAACUACCCGCUAUGGGAUCUGAGUGUAUGAGACCCAAACUAGUGUAUUAUUAAUAAGACUUGUAGAAAAAGUAAUCGGAUUUUGAAUAUUGAUAGUGAUAAUUUUAUUGAGAGUAAUGACAGUAAGCAGUUCCUCUAAGCAACUAAAUGUAACAAAUAACAAAAUAUAAGCAGUUCCUCUGAACAACUAAAAUUAAUACUCUUAUGCAGUCACGUAUAUGUUUUCAGGUAGUAGAAAGGAAAGUGUUCUGAGGCCCAUCACAACUGUCUAUAACUCCUGCAGAUCCAGAUUAUUUUCUUUUCUAGCAAACUAUUCCUGGAGUCUACGUAUUCUAGUAUUCCAGUCCAGUGGGCCUAUAGCAUCUAGUAUACUAGUAACUAGUAUCUAGGAUAAGGCAGACAUUGACUAUGGAUGGGCUUUGAGUCUCUUAAAGGUUAAGAGUAAGGCAGAAGGUUGACCCCUAAGCACUAGAUAGGAAAUUGAUGGUAGAGCAGUACCUACUUCUAGCAGGAAACGGGUCUCAGACUAUUUAUUUUCUUUCUCCUUCCAUGAUCCAAAACUCAUGUGUGUCCUAAAGAGAUGUCCCAUAUGGGAUUAUGGAGGAGUGGGUACUUUGUCUCCCCAGAGUUCUCUGGGCCCCAUAUUGGGAUUUAAUAAUUUAAAUUUCAUCUGGCUGGUGAGGAUGUGGCGAAACUGGAACCUUCAUACGUUAUAGGUGAGAAUGUCAAAUGGUUUGGCUUUGGAAGACGGUUGGGAAGAGAUGCACAUAACUGGUUCUCCUGAGACUGUGUGAGUUGGCCUCAGCACCUAUACUCCUGGCCCUGCACCCACUUCUAGUCUGAAGACCCAAGUAUGAUAGAGGAUACUGAAAAUCCUGAACUUUUGCCAAUAAGCAUUUCUUUUCCUCACCAAAACUGACAUGGCAUCCUGUAUUGAUUGUAUAUAAUAAAUAAUAUUAAUCCUAAUCUUUAAUGUCCUGUUUAGAGUUUUUCAUUGAAAGAGUACUACAUGCAAUUCUAUAUUGGAUAUAUGUUUUCAAAAUAAGUCAUUUUAGGUAAAUGCGGGUUGGCUUUUAUAAAACCAAACAGUAAGCAAAAUUGAACCUUAGGAAGACAUAGAGAAGAAGAAAAUAUGCAGAAAAUAUAGUUGUUUUGAAGUCUUUGUUCCAUAGUAUUAUGUGGAAUAAAGUGAGAAUAGCCUAAACCAAGCUUCAUGCUCUGCUAGAUAAUGACACUGAAAAGCUCUGUAAGUUGAAAUUUAUCAGUUAUAUUGAUUGCUUCAUACUUCUGUUUAUUUUUAACAGCAAUUUAAUGGAUUAAGUGUUCCCAUUCUUCAACAUCCAGACCUUCAGGACGUCUUACUCAUUCCUAUUAUUGGACCUAGGUUUGUAACUUUUCCAUUUCCAAUUAAAUUCUAAAAAUUUGUCACAGGUUUUAUCUUACUGUUGGAUAACACUGAGUUUCUGUAUUAUUAGCCACUUUGUAUAGAUAGACAAGAAUUCACAAGUUCAAAAAUGCCAACUUCAUACUGUGUCGUGGGAGAUGUUACAAAAAAGACUAGGAAUGGGCCCAAAUACCUUGAAAGUAAUGCAUUUUAUGUCCAUUUGGUGCAAAGAUUGGUUGUUUUUCCUCCUCCUGUUUUUUUUUUUUUUUUUUAAUUUGUUUGUUUAUUUAUUUAUUUAGAGAGGGAGAAGCAGAAUCCCAAGCAGGCUUGGGAACCUGACAGCCCAGAGCCUGACACGAGGCUUCAACUCACGAACCAGGAGAUCAUGACCUGAGUUGAAAUCAAGAGUAAGGUGUUUAACCGUCUGAGCCACUCAGACACCCCAGUUGUGGAUUCUCUUAAUACUAUAAGUAAACAAAUGAAGUGACUUAGAAAGUAGGAGGAAAGGGGCGCCUUUCCUCUUGUUUUUGGCUCACGUCAUGACAGUGUGGAGCCUCCUCAGAAUUCUGCCUCUCUCUCUCAAAAUAAAUAAAUUGAAAAAAAAAAACCACAAAAAAACAUAGAGCUUCCACUGCUAAUAUAAAACUUUUUUUUUUGAGCUACACAAAAAUACAAAGCAACAUAUUUGCUACAUUCAUAGGUGAUAUGUUUGUAAAAUUUUAUUCCUUAAUCCACAGUUACAUUAAAUUAUUGUGUAUGUUCUGUAGAACAAUGUUCUACUCAUUUAUGUAUUUGGAAGACACGUUUGAAAAUUGGGGGAAAAAAGCCUUUUCAUAUUAUAAUAGGAAUUCAUUUCCCCAGAACAUUUUAAAUCCCUAAUUAUGGUUUAAUUUUUUUGUACCCCUAUGAGUUUUAUUAAAUAGAAAAAUGCUUAUUUUGUGAAAGCUUUAAAGUAAUUUAGUAAAGCAGUCAAUAGUAAGGCAGUGGUUUAGUAAGUUAAGAUUUAUCUGUGCAGUGAAACAUGGCCUUUAAUGGGGGAGAAUUAUAUGUAUCAAUAAGAGAAGAAUUCACAAUUAUCAAAAGGAGGUUGCCAUGCAUAGGAUAAUUACAAAUUUUUUUUUUUGUAAUUACAAAAACAACUAUACAUUUAUGUAUAUUUACAUUUAGAAGUCUGGAAGCUUUAACGAACCCAACUUUUUUUUUUUAAAUAAAGUUACUUUCUUUAAGUUUAUUUGAGAGAGAGAAAGAGAGCAAGCAAGCAUGCAGGGGAGAGAAAGAGAGAGAGGGAGGGAGGGAGAGAAUCCUGAGCAGGCUCUGUACUUCUCUGCACAGAACCCGAUGUGGGGCUUAAACUCACAUCCUGGACUAUUUUUUUUUUUUUUUCAUAAAGCCGUCAUAUCCAACUAUUAAUAGAGGUUAAUUCUGAGUAGUUAACUCUGAUGAGGUUGGAUUAGGAGAAAAGUGGUAAGAGGAGAUUUUCACUUGUAACAUUUCUGUGUUAUAUUUACUGCAAGUAUAUUUACUGUAAGAAAUACCGUAUGUAUUUCUUUUGCAUUAAAAAGAAGGAGUUUUUGAGUUCCUUAUUUUAUUUCUUAAGGUGAAAUUUGCAGGCGGUGAAAUGGAGAGAUCUUAAUUAUGUGUAUCAUUGGCUGAAUUUUCCCAAAUUUGUAUAGCUGUGUGGUUAAGAUCCACCUCAAUCAAGAUAGAAAGAUGUCCAUAAUUGUCCCUAAUUCUAUAUAAAGCUAUUUCAUUCUUUUUUAAUAGCUGCAUACUUAAAAAAAUUUUUUUAUCCUUCUGUUGAUGGACAUUUCAUUAUUACCAACAGUAAAUAUUCUUAAGAUGUUUCUUUGUGGACUUGCAUAAGCAUGUCUACAAGAUAAAUUGGUACCCCAUGGAAUCACUGGUUCAUUGGUCUGUGCAUAUUUUAGUUUGAGACCUAUUGCCUUCUAAAACGUUUUACCAGUCAGGAGCACCUGGGUGGCUCAGUUGGUUAAGUGUCCGACUUCAGCUCAGGUCAUGAUCUCAUCUCAUGGUUGGUGAGUUCCAGCCCCGAGUUGAGCUGUGGGCUGACAGCCCAGAACCUGGAACCUACUUGGAUUCUGUGUCUCCAUCUCUCUUGCCCCUCCCCGACUUGUGCACUCAUGCGUGCACACUCUCUCGCUCGCUCUUUCACUCUCUCUCUCUCUCAAAAAUCAACGUUAAAAAAUAAAAAAAAUAAGUUUUACCAGUUAAUGUUUCUAGCAAUAUAUGAGAGAUUCUUAGAUCUUAAUUCUUUUUCUCUCUUUUAAUGUUUCUUUAUUUUUGAGAGAGAGAGCAAGAGAGAGACAGAAUGUGAGCAGGGGAGGGGCAAAGAGAGGGAAACACAGAAUUCAAAGCAGGCUCCAGGCUCCACACUGACAGCCCAAUGCAGGGCUUGAACCCACGAACCACGAGAUCACGCCCUGAGCCGAAGUUGGACACUCAGUCGACUGAGCCACCCAGGCGCCCCUCAGAUCUUUUAUUCUUGCUAAUACUGGCUAUGUUAGCUCUUUUAAAAAUGUGCAGAUAAUUUAAUUAUUUUCUGAAUUUAGCAACCCUUUCAUCCUGUUCCUUGUAGUGAUCUAGGCUACUCAUCAGAACAUUUAUGAACUAAAAAAUACAAAUGAUGAGUUACAACAGGAAAGUAUUCAAAAGUCAUUUAGGAGAAUAGAUUCACAUACCUACCUUUCACUUCUAAAAGGAGCAAAUCCAUUCUUUUUUGUUUUUAAAAUUCAUUAUCACUAUUAUUACCUUAGGAGUUUCCACUAUGAAAAAUGAGGAAGUUCUUUAAUUUUAUCCCCUAAAACCUCCACCAGCCAGUUUUUAUUUACUGUGUUCUUUAGCAUUGUAGAGGUUUAUAACAUUGUUAUUCUAGAAGCACAAUUCAAAUGGAUGCAGUGCUUACUUUUAAUUCUAAUAGUUCAUUUCUGAGUUGUCUUGAUUGCUCUCUUGGUUAGCAAGUAUAGUCCUUUAUCAGGUGUGCAGCCCGUCUGCUUCCCGUCUUCAAAAUAAGUAUUCUCCUCUCCAAAGUAUUUACUUUCUUGCUUGAGAAUUGCCUGUUGCCUUUAUAUUUAAACAAUAGGUUGACUGAUAGUGGUUUCAGGUCCCAUGUUAUUUCCCUUAACACUUUGUAGACAUUGCUUUUACAGCGUCAGGGCGUCAAGUGUUGCUGUGAAGAAAUCAGAGGCCGGGGCGCCUGGGUGGCUCAGUUGGAUAAGCCUCUGACUUCAGCUCUGGUCAUGAUCUUGAGCUUUGUGGGUUUGAGCCCUACAUUGGGUCUGUGCUGACAGCUGGGAGCCUGGAGCCUGCUUCAGAUUCUGUGUCUCCCUCUCCCUCUGCCCCUCCCCUGUUCACACUCUGUCUCUCUCUCAAAAAUUAACAUUAAGGGGCGCCUGGGUGGCGCAGUCGGUUAAGCGUCCGACUUCAGCCAGGUAACGAUCUCGCGGUCCGUGAGUUCGAGCCCCGCGUCAGGCUCUGGGCUGAUGGCUCAGAGCCUGGAGCCUGUUUCCGAUUCUGUGUCUCCCUCUCUCUCUGCCCCUCCCCCGUUCAUGCUCUGUCUCUCUCUAUCCCAAAAAUAAAUAAACGUUGAAAAAAUAAAUAAAUAAAUAAAUAAACAUUAAAAAAAAAAUUCAGAGGCCAAAAAAACAUCCUGUCUCCCAGCUGCCCACAAGAGUAGUUUUUACUUGGAGAUCUAUGAAUUCAUCAUUGAACUUUAGAAACUGGGCUGGGAUAUAGCUUGAUUUUCACUAUUCUCUCUUGCUCUUUAGUCAAACAGUAUAACUUUUUAGUUACAAGUCCACCAGUAGUUCUGUGAAUAUUUUUGUUGUACUUUUCUGUAUUCUCUAUUAUAAGGACCCUAGGACUCUGUAGGUUGGAUCUCCAGUGCAGGUAUUCCUGUGUUGGGGCACCCCCAAGACAACCAACCCUCAGGUGCUGUGAUUGACAAGAAUGAGUCAGGAUUCAGCAUGUUGUAGUGCUCCUGGGGAAGACUGAUUACACAAAAGGAUACAAAAGCAAAUCUAGAAGGGAAAGGUGCAUGGGGCAAAGUCUGGAAGAAGUCAGGCACAAGCUUCCAAGAGUCUUCUCCCCGAUGGACUUAUUAGAACAUGCUUAAUUCCUCUAGCAACAAAUUGUGACACGAGUAAAAUAGUUGCCCAGGAGGGCAGCUCAUUAGAGACUAGACCCAGUGGCCAAGGUUUUUAUUGGGCGCUGGUCAUGUGAUCACCCUCUGCCCAGCAUGUACCAAAAUUUCAGGCUCCCAAAAGGAAAACAGGUGUUCAGAAUAAAGCACAUUGCUUAUACAAACAGUUUAGGAAUGCCCUAUCACGAAGAUGGAGCCGAAGGUGAAGAAGGAAGCCCCUGCUCCUCCCAAAGCUGAAGCCAAAGGAAGGGCUUUGAAGGCGAAGAAAGCAGUGCUGAAAGGCGUCCACAGUCAUAAAAAAAAAAAAGAAGAUCUGCACGUCAUUUACCUUCCGAUGGCCCAAGACACCGCAUGUCCGAAAGCAGCCCAAAUAUCCUCGAAAGAGCGCCCCCAGGAGGAACAAGCUUGACCGCUAUGCCAUCAUCAAGUUUCCCCUAACUGCCAAGUCAGCCAUGAAGAAAAUAGAAGACAACAACACUCUUGUGUUUAUUGUGGAUGUCAAGGCCAACAAGCACCAGAUCAAACAGGCUGUAAAGAAGUUCUAUGACAUUGACAUUGUCAAGGUCAACACUCUGAUCAGGCCCAAUGGAGAAAAGAAAGCAUAUGUUCCAUUGGCUCCUGACUAUGAUGCUUUGGAUGUUGCCAACAAAAUUGGGAUCAUCUAAACUGAGUCCAGCUGGCUAAAUCUAAAUAUAAAUUUUUUCAACAACAAAAACAAACAAACAGU